CAGUCGCCACGGGAAUACGUAGGGUGCGAGCGUUGUCCGGAAUUACUGGGCGUAAAGAGCUCGUAGGCGGUUUGUCGCGUCGUCUGUGAAAUUCUGCAGCUUAACUGUAGGCGUGCAGGCGAUACGGGCAGACUUGAGUACUACAGGGGAGACUGGAAUUCCUGGUGUAGCGGUGAAAUGCGCAGAUAUCAGGAGGAACACCGGUGGCGAAGGCGGGUCUCUGGGUAGUAACUGACGCUGAGGAGCGAAAGCGUGGGUAGCGAACAGGAUUAGAUACCCCUGUAGUCCCUGUCUCUUAUAA
rnacentral:rRNA from 1 species